rnacentral:rRNA from 1 species
UACGAAGGGGGCUAGCGUUGCUCGGAAUCACUGGGCGUAAAGGGUGCGUAGGCGGGUCUUUAAGUCAGGGGUGAAAUCCUGGAGCUCAACUCCAGAACUGCCUUCGAUACUGGCGAUCUCGAGUUCGGGAGAGGUGAGUGGAACUGCGAGUGUAGAGGUGAAAUUCGUAGAUAUUCGCAAGAACACCAGUGGCGAAGGCGGCUCACUGGCCCGAUACUGACGCUGAGGCACGAAAGCGUGGGGAGCAAACAGG